rnacentral:rRNA from 1 species
ACUCCUACGGGAGGCAGCAGUGGGGAAUAUUGGACAAUGGGGGCAACCCUGAUCCAGCGACGCCGCGUGUGUGAAGAAGGCCUGCGGGUUGUAAAGCACUUUUAGUGGGGAUGAAAAGUACAUCGCUAAUACCGGUGUAACUUGACCUAACCCAAAGAAAAAGCACCGGCUAACUCUGUGCCAGCAGCCGCGGUAAU